rnacentral:RNase_P_RNA from 2 species
AUAGUUAGAAGCUUUCGAUAGGGGACUAUGUUCCUUUGGAAGGUCUGAGAGCAUGUAUCAUCGUGAUGAUGACAAGCUAAUGCUUGAAGCCGGUUUAAGAGAAAUGUAUACUUCUGAGGACAUAAUGUGGAUGAAUCAGAAAGUAUUUGGGAAUGCUGGUGUGCUAUAAUGGAAGUCAAAUUCGAAAGACACAAUCGAUCUUGUGUAACAAAAUUCAGACUACUCUUUGACUGU